UGCUAUUUAUAUUUGUCACAAGCUUAAUUUCACAGCAGCUAAUUAAAUCUUUGCUGAAGAGGAGUUAGAUUCAAAGUUGGUGCAUCAGUAAAGGGGAUUUUGGUGAAUUUUUUAGGGUUUUUUUGGGGCCAAAAUUGUUUGUUGGUACUUCUUGGAAAAGCACUUUUCUAUCCAUAGAGAUAGAGUGGAAGCAAUUUCCCAGAAAAUCAUGGCAAUUUUAGGGGGACAAAAAAAAAAAAAAAUCAUGAAAAAUGGUCAUGGGAAGAAGAUCAAUGCUUCAAACAUACUGUAAUUUGGCGGACCGAAUGCCAUGCGUUUUAAUGUACUCUUCGGAUCGUACCAGUGGUGUCCUUCCUUUGGAGUCGCCGAUAUCAGGAUCCAUACCCACCUUAAGAAGAUCUUCAAGCAAGCUACUAUUGCCCGUGGCAGCGACGGUCAGGAGAUUGCAUGUGUUCAACUUGAUAUCUAGCUCUCAUCACUAGUUUGAUUCUGAGUGAAGAAAUUUGCAAUAAGGAAUGUCCUGUUGCUUGAGAUAUCGUCAUUGGAUUAUGAGUUACCGGAUUUGGCAUACUCGACUGCAACAAAUCUCCUCAGAAAACAUUGAUUUGGACUAGUCACGGUACAUGGAACUGAUGGUGAUUCUUAAUGUUAGUUAAAUAUGAUGAUCAGGGUGAGAUAAUUUUUCCCCGCGAACUCGACUGAGCCCGGUUGUAGUCGGUCGCGCCCAAAGGGGGGAGUAUGAGCUUCGAGAGAUUACGAAGGGUGAAGGAUGCCGACUCCUCAUUCUUGCUAUACAAUCUUGCGUCGCCGCGCUUUGGAAAACUACAUCCUCCGUCGCUGAUCUUAAAACUUGGGUCCUCCAUUGAUAAUUCAGAAAGGGAGGCCACAGGCUCAAAUAAUAGAGCUGGGGAGCACUGCAAAAGAAAAAAAGUGGUCCACUGAAGGGCCCAACAUGAGGAAUAUGUGGACUUGGUCAUGUGUUAUGCUGUUCACAGGAGUUGAUUGUUGAUGGUGGAUAUUAAUCCCUCAUGUGGUAGGUUUGAUGGAUGCUGAAUAAUAAUGAGAUGACUACUACGUGACAGCGAAGGAACGAUGGACUUGCAAGAAGAAUAUCUGGGGAGAGUGAUGAUGGAUUCAGUCUCUGUUGUUCUUUUUCGCUGUCAAAUGGAAUUCGUCGGCAAAAUCUCUGAGAGGUAUUCGAGGGGCGGAAAUUGGUGUGGCCUUAUCUGUUUGAACUUUCUACCGUGCUCGAGAUUCGUCUUAUGUGAAUUCGAAAUCGGAUCUGUUGGAUUUGUCUUUUUUUCGGUAAAUUGAACUCUGAUUGUGUCUGAAUUAUGCAGUGUUUUGUUGCAAUUAGAAGUGCUUAACAUUGCAUUAUAUCAAUUUGUCAGCAAACUCUCCACACUGUUUUUUCUUCGUUUUUGGGCAAACACAGAAGAAGUUUUUCUUGCUAGAAUGAAAGUAGUCAUUUUGUUGUUGAAUAUAUAUAUACAUUAGUUGAUUUUAAAGUGAUAAA